rnacentral:rRNA from 1 species
UACGGAGGGUGCGAGCGUUGUCCGGAAUCACUGGGCGUAAAGGGCGCGUAGGCGGCCUGAUAAGUAGGGGGUGAAAUCCUGCGGCUUAACCGCAGAGCUGCCUUCUAAACUGUCAGGCUGGAGCACAGUAGAGGCAGGUGGAAUUCCCGGUGUAGCGGUGGAAUGCGUAGAGAUCGGGAAGAACAUCAGUGGCGAAGGCGGCCUGCUGGGCUGUUGCUGACGCUGAGGCGCGACAGCGUGGGGAGCAAACAGG